rnacentral:rRNA from 1 species
UACGUAGGGGGCAAGCGUUGUCCGGAUUUAUUGGGCGUAAAGAGCUCGUAGGCGGUGAGGUAAGUCUGACGUGAAAUCUCCGGGCUCAACCCGGAAACUGCGUUGGAUACUAUCUCGCUAGAGGAAUGGAGGGGAAACUGGAAUACUUGGUGUAGCAGUGAAAUGCGUAGAUAUCAAGUGGAACACCAGUGGCGAAGGCGGCUCUCUGGGACGGUACUGACGCUGAGACGCGAAAGCGUGGGGAGCGAACAGG